CAGGCCUAACACAUGCAAGUCGAACGAGACCUUCGGGUCUAGUGGCGCACGGGUGCGUAACGCGUGGGAAUCUGCCCUUGGGUUCGGGAUAACAGUUGGAAACGACUGCUAAUACCGGAUGAUGUCUUCGGACCAAAGAUUUAUCGCCCAAGGAUGAGCCCGCGUAGGAUUAGCUUGUUGGUGAGGUAAGAGCUCACCAAGGCGACGAUCCUUAGCUGGUCUGAGAGGAUGAUCAGCCACACUGGGACUGAGACACGGCCCAGACUCCUACGGGAGGCAGCAGUGGGGAAUAUUGGACAAUGGGCGAAAGCCUGAUCCAGCAAUGCCGCGUGAGUGAUGAAGGCCUUAGGGUUGUAAAGCUCUUUUACCCGGGAUGAUAAUGACAGUGCCGGGAGAAUAAGCCCCGGCUAACUCCGUGCCAGCAGCCGCGGUAAUACGGAGGGGGCUAGCGUUGUUCGGAAUUACUGGGCGUAAAGCGCGCGUAGGCGGCUUUGUAAGUUAGAGGUGAA
rnacentral:rRNA from 1 species